UACGUAGGGCGCAAGCGUUGUCCGGAAUUAUUGGGCGUAAAGAGCUCGUAGGCGGUUUGUCGCGUCUGCUGUGAAAACCUGAGGCUCAACCUCGGGCUUGCAGUGGGUACGGGCAGACUAGAGUGCGGUAGGGGUGACUGGAAUUCCUGGUGUAGCGGUGGAAUGCGCAGAUAUCAGGAGGAACACCGAUGGCGAAGGCAGGUCACUGGGCCGGUACUGACGCUGAGACGCGAAAAGCGUGGGGAGCGAACAGG
rnacentral:rRNA from 1 species